GGAGAUUUGCUACUGUGAUGCGGAGAAAGUUGGACGUAUGUAACCGAGGAGGGUUACCCUCAGUGGGAGGUGCAAGCCGCCGAACAGCUCAACAGAGACAACACGCGGAAGAUACCUAUCUAAGCCCAGACAGAAGCCCUUGAACAGGGGGCGCUGAUUCAACACAGGACCAAAGGCAACAGGACUGAGUGAACAUGGACUGAAACCCCCCAUAGCCAGCGAAGGGAACCGCCACAUUGGCUUGCACAUGCGCAAAAUGAAGGGAGUUGCACCUCUCCGCACCUGCACGCAAGUCUGUUCAAAGUGGACCAAAACCGCUGAAUUCGUGCUCAAUGAUUCUCAUGGUUCCGUGAUGGUGCUGAAUCCAGACGGGAAAGCAGAGUGCUGUGCAUGGGAGGCAGCUUUGGCAUUUCACAUACCAUGGACAGAGAAUACGUGGAGGGAGUCACGAGGGCGAGGUACUAUUUGAAAAACAAGGCAACUGGAAGACUUUGCUCAGAGGAAGGUACCCAGGAGCUGCUGCCAAAGAGCCAAAUCUCGCUUCUUCAGCUCAGCACCGUGGAGGUCGCCAUGCAGCUCUCCACGAGUUCCAAUGUUGAAUUCUUCCACAACAUUGAGCCUAAUGAAUACAUAGGUGAUUUAUUUAAACUCAAAUAAAAAACCAGCUUAGCCAACCUGAAGAAACUUGAGGAAGUCUUUAACCAGGAAACAUUUGGGUGGCUUCUGAAAUCCUGGGAGAGACAACUAGCUGAAAGAGAAUGAAGAUCUUCAAGCCUUCAUUAAGAUUGCCUCGCACUGUAGGGAAUGCAAGAAUUUUAACUCCAUGUUUGCAGUCAUCAGGUAAGAGGACCUGUCCUAUGAGAAGCUGACUCUACAGAUUUAACUAUAUAUAUAUACACUAGUUUUGGAAUACUAUAUAAUUAUAGAAAUAUUGACU
ensembl:lincRNA